AAGAAAUCUGGCUUAAGAGACACAUCAUUUCAACCCAUUUUAGCCACACAAGGUUUGGGUGAUUGGAAUUACAUCAGGAAAGCAUCCACAAUACAAGGACAAGAUAAAUUUAAAAAUCCUCUUAGCUAUUCUAACUUCAAAGAGCCUCUUACAUGAAUUACAGCAGAACAAGGGGUGUGCCUUCAACCAUGUCCUACCUCUAUCAUAAAGCUUCCGUGCCACCUGUUAAACUGAUGAGAUCACUUUCAGAGCUUGCCCUCACAUUUUCAUCAAGAUCUCUAUAGUCACCAUUGCAUUACCUGAUCUUUGAUUCAACUCACCCUUUAAUAAUGUCAAUUACUAACAAAUCAAGAUUUCUUAAAAAAGAAAAAAAAUAGCAGAGCAUUAUUUUCAAAGCUAUAAAACCUAAAUACACUUCAAAAAGCUAAGGUGCCACACUGAGUACUGAUUUUUUUAUGAAGGCUAUGCUAUUGCCUCAAGCCCUUUUCAAUGCUUGAAGAUAUGUUCUAUGAUUAGUUGAAGGCUCCUCCCUUCCAUCUCUUUUAAAAAAUAACCAACAAAUCUACUGCCUCCACAAUGACAGGCGCCCAUAGCUUGCUAACAAUAAACUAAUGUGGUUUCAAAAAUUUGGCAAUACACUUCAAGAGACGAAUUGUUAUCGAUAUAAGUAUCAUUCAAAGCAUUAUAAGUGUAGCCCAAUGGUCGAGUGUUUACCUUAACCAUGCAUGAGACCAGGAAUUCAAACUCUGACAGAACUCUACCCUUUAAAGAAAUGAAAAUUUUCCUAUGUACCAAAGAAAAAGUAUUAGAUGCCUACUAUUAGGGACUAUUUCUACAGGUACCUGAUGGACCACCCAAGGCGUAAAGAGAUAAAAUCAACAUUUAACAGGUAAAAGUAAUAUAAAAUACAAAGCUAGACAAUGAUGAGAAAAUCAACAGGCAACACUUAUUGAAAAGGCACCAAAAAGGUAGAGCAUAGGCAAUGACAUGUAAAUGCAAGACGAUAAAUCCUCAAAUAAUUUAAUGUAGCAAGCCAAGCCUCAACAGAACACCACCAGUGUCAUUCCCCACAUGGUCGAGUUUUGAUGGGAGAUGCACCUAAAUUUCAGGGGAGCAAGGUUAUUUGCUGGUGAGCCUUAAAUUCCUUAUCCGUCUCAAAGAUUUAAUAUUCCUACAUCUUCAAUCAGUGUACAAAUCAGAAUUGAAUAACAUCAAAAACUGUUACAGAUAAUGCCCACUUACCAAACUUCAUGAAAGGAAGCAAAUAUACUAGGAGGGAAAGGUGAGUGAACCAAGCAAAUCAAAGUCCAUAACACCAAAAAUUCCAUUAAACUGCAUUACCACUGGUAUCCAUCUAGAAAGUCAUGCAAUUACAGCAUAGAAUUCAAAUAAAAGAGUAACAGGGAAAAUUAUCAGGUUAAACUGCAGUAAGAAUUCUAAGCAAACUGAACACUAGAAUUUUGAAAUUGCGAUUUUCCUCACAGACAUACACACGUUGCAUAGCGUUCAAAUGAUACAAAUGUCUAUUCCUCUAAAGGGCAUCAAAACUGCUUUCUUUUAUUUCUAAAAAGUUUGUCUCUUUUGGCAUAAACAUAAAAAAGUGCAAAGAACCCUAUUGCAGACAUUGAAACUGAGCCCCAGGGAAAUGGUGGAUCCUUGAAACAAAGCAGUGAUGCCUCCAAUUCCUGGGAUGCAUGGUAAACAAGAGAAUGAAUGGCAUACAGAUCAUGGUCUGAGGACCUCAAGUAAUAUAAAGCCAUCUCAAAGUCCAAAUGAGACAUUGCUGAAACUGCUUUGUCCAGCUUGUACCUGAACAAGUUCCAUCUUUGUAUAAACUCAACAUGUUGAUUCUGUUUAAGGAGAUUCCUGUCACCACCAUGUGCUGAUAUAGACUCAAGGACAUCAAUAGCACUUGUUAUGCUGUAAUUCAGUGACGUCAAAAGUACAUUUCUCCUUACAGCAUCCCUCUGCACAAAAGAAAGUGAUGAAGUCUCUGAGAAAGGCCCGAAUGGUGUCUGCCCAACACUCCAAGUAUAAUCCACCAAAGUAUUAUUAUGCCUUGAACUCCAUAACAAAUGUGUUGGUGACACUCCCCACAUGCUCUGUAGAAUUGAACCAACAACCGGUCGCUCAAUCUCUCUUGUAUGCGUAAACACAUGACGUCCAUUGCAGCUAUAAUCACUCACAGUCUGAGUAGUCUUCGUCCUCACUGCAAUAACCAUAUCUCUGAAAGCAACUGAUUGAUGAUACCGAUCAAGCAACAAUAAUGUAUUAUAAUCCAAAUCAAACACAUAAACUGGAAGCACUCUGCCAAAAUCCUCCUCAGGGAUUCCUGCCAUCCUCCUAAACUCCUCAGCAGAAUCAGACAAUAUUUGAUGCAACCUUUUUGAGUCCAAAUACUCACUCACAAUCAAAGUAUAGUUAUCAAACAAAAACCUUGAAGUGUACGAAUUAAUAGACCUCGAAAUGGCAAAUGAGCAAAUCGGACAAUCAGCAUAUCUAAUUCCAUAAUUCCUAAAUACCAAAGACUGGUCUCCUAACAACAACCCACCCUCGUCAGCCUCAUCUCUGAAGGUCCUCUCAAUAGCUUUCCAAUCCAAUCCACUUGAAUCCUUUUCAGCGUCAGACCCAUAAACAUGUAUAAACUCAACUAUCAAAGAACUCUCAAAAUGAACAGGAAUUCUUAAGGAGGGCACAAGUAGAACCUGAUAAGCACUCCAAAUCAAAGAAGCCAAGUCUGCAAGCAGCGCCUUUUGUGACUUGGGUCCCCCGUGCAUUGCCGCUAGAGGGUGAAAUUCUCCUCUAGGCAAAACCCCAUCUCCGGAUAAAGCAGGCCCAUAAUCCACAGGUCCAGCGGAAAGGUCAAUCCAGAGAUAUCUCUCUUUCCCAGUCCAGAUAGUUCCCAAACAUUUCGUGAAUCCAGGAGAGGAAUCUCCAGGUGUAUAACUAUAAGCAUAAUUUCUCGAUUGGGAACCUAAAGAAAGCAAGUAAAUAUAAAUCCCUUGAACGGGUUUUUCCUUAUCGAAUUCUUGCCUGAUGAUUUGAUCAAUAGUAUCAUAAGGAAUGGAGAGGAGAGGAGAACGUAGCGAAGAAGGCGUGGCAGAAAUUGCCGAUUUAAGGGCUUCGAAGAGACGGGAGGAAAGGGAGGGGCCGGAGUGGGAAAUAUCGAGGUGGGGAGAAUGCUUGAUGGCGAGGCGGUGGGAGUGGUGGUGAGGUGGAGGAUCGGUGGUGAUGACAUGGAAGUGGUCGGAGGUGUGUGCGGUGGAGAGGAAGGAAGUGAGGAGAGAGGAGGAAUCAGGAGCGAAAGAGGAGCCAACGAGACGGAUAUGAAGGGAAAGAGGGAGUGAGAUGGAGAGAAGGGAGGAGAUGAGGGAAGGGAUGUGAGGAUGAGGAGAGGAAAGAAAGAGAGAUUUUUUGAGCGAGGAAGGUACAGAUUGGAAGGAGUCGUUGGUAGAUUUUGGGUCUACGUGCGAUUGCUGAGAAAGGAAGGUGUCUAGGCCUGGGAUUGGAGCUGAGGUCGUGGAAGUGAGGAGUAAGAGGAGGAGUAUGGUGGUGGUGGUGGUGGUGGU
rnacentral:misc_RNA from 1 species